rnacentral:rRNA from 1 species
GCCGCAGCGAAAGCGAGUCUGAAUAGGGCGAAUGAGUAUGUGGUUGUAGACCCGAAACCGGGUGAUCUACCCAUGUCCAGGGUGAAGUCCAGGUAACACUGGAUGGAGGCCCGAACCCACGCACGUUGAAAAGUGCGGGGAUGAGGUGUGGGUAGGGGUGAAAUGCCAAUCGAACUCGGAAAUAGCUGGUUCUCCCCGAAAUAGCUUUAGGGCUAGCCUCGAGGGAAGAGUUUUGGAGGUAGAGCACUGAUUGGACGAGGGGUCCCCACAGGAUUACCGAAUUCAGUCAAACUCCGAAUGCCAAAAACUUAUCCUCGGGAGUCAGACUGCGAGUGCUAAGAUCCGUAGUCAAGAGGGAAACAGCCCAGACCAUCAGCUAAGGUCCCAAAGUAUACGUUAAGUGGAAAAGGAUGUGGAGUUGCUUAGACAACCAGGAUGUUGGCUUAGAAGCAGCCAUCAUUGAAAGAGUGCGUAAUAGCUCACUGGUCGAGUGACUCUGCGCCGAAAAUGUACCGGGGCUAAACGUAUCACCGAAGCUAUGGACAGACACCUUCGGGUGUCCUGUGGUAGGGGAGCGUUCCAAGGGCGUCGAAGCAUGACCGGAAGGACAUGUGGAGCGCUUGGAAGUGAGAAUGCCGGUAUGAGUAGCGAAAAGAGGGGUGAGAAUCCCCUCCGUCGAAAGCCUAAGGUUUCCUGAGGAAGGCUCGUCCGCUCAGGGUAAGUCGGGACCUAAGCCGAGGCCGAAAGGCGUAGGCGAUGGAAAACAGGUUGAAAUUCCUGUACCACCACGUUUCCGUUUGAGUAAUGGGGGGACGCAGUAAGGUAGGGUAAGCGCACCGUUGGUUGUGUGCGUCGAAGCAAUUAGGCUGACAAGUAGGUAAAUCCGCUUGUCGUGAAGGCUGAGUUGUGAUCGCGAGGGAAAUUUAGUACCGAAGUUCCCAAUCCUACACUGCCAAGAAAAGCCUCUAGCGAGGAAGCUGGUGCCCGUACCGCAAACCGACACAGGUAGGCGGGAUGAGAAUUCUAAGACGCGCGGGAGAACUCUCGUUAAGGAACUCGGCAAAAUGACUCCGUAACUUCGGGAGAAGGAGUGCUCUAUUAGGGUGCAAGCCCGAGAGAGCCGCAGUGAAUAGGCCCAAACGACUGUUUAUCAAAAACACAGGUCUCUGCCAAGCCGCAAGGCGAUGUAUAGGGGCUGACACCUGCCCGGUGCUGGAAGGUUAAGAGGAGGGGUUAUCCCGUAAGGGAGAAGCUCUGAAUUGAAGCCCCAGUAAACGGCGGCCGUAACUAUAACGGUCCUAAGGUAGCGAAAUUCCUUGUCGGGUAAGUUCCGACCCGCACGAAAGGUGCAACGAUUUGGGCACUGUCUCAACGAGAGACCCGGUGAAAUUAUAUUACCAGUGAAGAUGCUGGUUACCCGCGACAGGACGGAAAGACCCCAUGGAGCUUUACUGUAGCUUGAUAUUGGAUGUUGGAACAGCUUGUACAGGAUAGGUAGGAGCCUUGGAAACCGGAGCGCUAGCUUCGGUGGAGGCAUUGGUGGGAUACUACCCUGGCUGUUUUGACAUUCUAACCUCGGACCGUGAUCCGGUUCAGGAACAGUGUCAGGUGGGCAGUUUGACUGGGGCGGUCGCCUCCUAAAGAGUAACGGAGGCGCCCAAAGGUUCCCUCAGAAUGGUUGGAAAUCAUUCGUAGAGUGCAAAGGCAUAAGGGAGCUUGACUGCGAGACAUACAGGUCGAGCAGGGACGAAAGUCGGGCUUAGUGAUCCGGCGGCACCGUAUGGAAGGGCCGUCGCUCAACGGAUAAAAGCUACCCUGGGGAUAACAGGCUAAUCUCCCCCAAGAGUCCACAUCGACGGGGAGGUUUGGCACCUCGAUGUCGGCUCGUCGCAUCCUGGGGCUGAAGUAGGUCCCAAGGGUUGGGCUGUUCGCCCAUUAAAGCGGCACGCGAGCUGGGUUCAGAACGUCGUGAGACAGUUCGGUCCCUAUCCGUCGCGGGCGCAGGAAAUUUGAGAGGAGCUGUCCUUAGUACGAGAGGACCGGGAUGGACACACCGCUGGUGUACCAGUUGUUCCGCCAGGAGCAUCGCUGGGUAGCUACGUGUGGAAGGGAUAAGUGCUGAAAGCAUCUAAGCAUGAAGCCCCCCUCGAGAUGAGAUUUCCCAUCACGUAAGUGAGUAAGAUCCCUCAGAGAAGAUGAGGUAGAUAGGUCUCGUGUGGAAGCAUGGCGACAUGCGGAGCUGAGAGAUACUAAUCGAUCGAGGACUUAACCAA